rnacentral:lncRNA from 1 species
CCGUACUUCGCCAACCGAUAUACAAUCCCAUAAAUGUAUGUUACCAAUAAAAAUUUACAUUAAAAAAUGGUUCAUAAAAGUUCUAUUACAAAUCUACCAAACUACAAAAUUCAAUUAUCAAGCUAUCACUAAAUUUGAUGACUUGUCUAUACAAUGUAAUAUCAGUAUAUCUUACAAACGUCCUCCCGUCAUGUCGAAAGCUAUUUUUAUCUAUAUAAGGAAAAAGGUAUGUCAAUCUCGUUCCCCGAGCCUGCGAUCCUCGGGAAGGAACGCGAGGCUCUGGGAUAAUCCGUUGCCGGAAGGCAGGAAUUCUGGCUAAGAUUGAACUACGCAUCCAUUUCAACGGCCAAUCAGAUUCCUCCCUGAAACGGAUUAUCCCAGAGCCUCGCGUUCCUUCCCGAGGAUCGCAGGCUCGGGGAACGAGAUUAAAGGUAUGUAAACCUCAAUCAAAGUGAAUCAUAGACCAAUUUCAUAUCUCCGUCUGCACAGGUCGGAACCACUUAAAAUACAGUUAGUUCUCCGUAGUUUCUUCACAGAUCAAUACAUACGUUUCUUUUUAUGGAAAACACCAAGUUUAUUUAGCAAAAUUUUCAAUCUGUAUACUUCAUCAAAUAUAGUCUGUGUCAUAG